rnacentral:rRNA from 1 species
AAACUUUCAACAACGGAUCUCUUGGUUCUGGCAUCGAUGAAGAACGCAGCGAAAUGCGAUAAGUAACGUGAAUUGCAGAAUUCAGUGAAUCAUCGAAUCUUUGAACGCACAUUGCGCCCAUUAGUAUUCUAGUGGGCAUGCCUGUUCGAGCGUCAUUU